GAUGAACGCUGGCCGCGUGCCUAAUACAUGCAAGUCGAGCGAACAGACGAGGAGCUUGCUCCUCUGACGUUAGCGGCGGACGGGUGAGUAACACGUGGAUAACCUACCUAUAAGACUGGGAUAACUUCGGGAAACCGGAGCUAAUACCGGAUAAUAUAUUGAACCGCAUGGUUCAAUAGUGAAAGACGGUUUUGCUGUCACUUAUAGAUGGAUCCGCGCCGCAUUAGCUAGUUGGUAAGGUAACGGCUUACCGAGGCAACGAUGCGUAGCCGACCUGAGAGGGUGAUCGGCCACACUGGAACUGAGACACGGUCCAGACUCCUACGGGAGGCAGCAGUAGGGAAUCUUCCGCAAUGGGCGAAAGCCUGACGGAGCAACGCCGCGUGAGUGAUGAAGGUCUUCGGAUCGUAAAACUCUGUUAUUAGGGAAGAACAAAUGUGUAAGUAACUAUGCACGUCUUGACGGUACCUAAUCAGAAAGCCACGGCUAACUACGUG
rnacentral:rRNA from 1 species